rnacentral:rRNA from 1 species
AACACAUGCAAGUCGAGCGGAAACGAGUUAUCUGAACCUUCGGGGAACGAUAACGGCGUCGAGCGGCGGACGGGUGAGUAAUGCCUGGGAAUAUGCCUUGAUGUGGGGGAUAACUAUUGGAAACGAUAGCUAAUACCGCAUAAUGCCUUCGGGCCAAAGAGGGGGACCUUCGGGCCUCUCGCGUCAAGAUUAGCCCAGGUGGGAUUAGCUAGUUGGUGAGGUAAAGGCUCACCAAGGCAACGAUCCCUAGCUGGUCUGAGAGGAUGAUCAGCCACACUGGAACUGAGACACGGUCCAGACUCCUACGGGAGGCAGCAGUGGGGAAUAUUGCACAAUGGGCGCAAGCCUGAUGCAGCCAUGCCGCGUGUGUGAAGAAGGCCUUCGGGUUGUAAAGCACUUUCAGCAGUGAGGAAGGCAUUGUCGUUAAUAGCGGCAGUGUUUGACGUUAGCUGCAGAAGAAGCACCGGCUAACUCCGUGCCAGCAGCCGCGGUAAUACGGAGGGUGCGAGCGUUAAUCGGAAUUACUGGGCGUAAAGCGCAUGCAGGUGGUUAGUUAAGUCAGAUGUGAAAGCCCGAGGCUCAACCUCGGAACUGCAUUUGAAACUGGCUGACUAGAGUACUGUAGAGGGGGGUAGAAUUUC